rnacentral:rRNA from 1 species
CAGCGGGAUAACCCGGAGAAAUCCGGCCUAAUACCGCAUGUGGCCGAGGGGAGGCAUCUUCUUUCGGCCAAAGGAGGCGACUCCGGAGACGGAUGGGCAUGCGUGACAUUAGCUUGUUGGCGGGGUAACGGCCCACCAAGGCGACGAUGUCUAGGGGUUCUGAGAGGAAGGUCCCCCACACUGGUACUGAGACACGGACCAGACUCCUACGGGAGGCAGCAGUGAGGAAUAUUGGUCAAUGGGCGAGAGCCUGAACCAGCCAAGUCGCGUGAAGGAUGACGGCCCUACGGGUUGUAAACUUCUUUUGUCAGGGAGCAAUUGGGUCCACGUGUGGGCUUAGCGAGAGUACCUGAAGAAAAAGCAUCGGCUAACUCCGUGCCAGCAGCCGCGGUAAUACGGAGGAUGCGAGCGUUAUCCGGAUUUAUUGGGUUUAAAGGGUGCGUAGGCGGAAUAUCAAGUCAGCGGUAAAAAUUCGGGGCUCAACCCCGUCGUGCCGUUGAAACUGAUGUUCUUGAGUGGGCGAGAAGUAUGCGGAAUGCGUGGUGUAGCGGUGAAAUGCAUAGAUAUCACGCAGAACUCCGAUUGCGAAGGCAGCAUACCGGCGCCCAACUGACGCUGAAGCACGAAAGCGUGGGUAUCGAACAGGAUUAGAUACCCUGGUAGUCCACGCAGUAAACGAUGAAUGCUAAUUGUCCGGAGGGAUUGACCCCUGGGUGAUACAG